rnacentral:ncRNA from 17 species
AAGCCGUCCUGCGGGAGCUCGGAUAAACCGGGCUGAGAGGACCCCUUGCCCGACUGCGCGCCGGGCUUGUGGGGUCGACCGACGAACCUGUCCGGGUAAUGCCGACGAAGGGAAAUUCUGCACUGGCGGA